GUUUCCGGUGGCAGGGUCUGGGGAAGCGGCGGCAGGCGCCAUGUCUGGCCGCGAAGGUGGCAAGAAGAAGCCACUGAAACAGCCCAAGAAGCAGGCCAAGGAGAUGGACGAGGUGAGGGCGGGCGCGGAGGCACUGGCGGGUGCGGGGGCGCUGGGAGACAGGCCUGAGUUGAACACGCUCUGCCUCUCCCCAGGAAGAUAAGGCUUUCAAGCAGAAACAAAAAGAGGAGCAGAAGAAACUCGAGGAGCUAAAAGCGAAGGCCGCGGGGAAGGGGCCCUUGGGUAAGUGGGGGCCGAAUGGAGCUCAAGCUGGCCAAACGCUAUGAGCACCUAUUGGGAUGAGGGCGCGGGCAUGUCUUUUUCCUGCCUCCUGAACUGCGAGGUCUCGUUUUCCGACGUCCGCUGCAGCGAAUGGUCUCUAGCCAGUCUAGGAUUUGCAGCGGCAGUAAGGGCCGGGAGCUGGAAACGAGGUCUCCUGCCUCCCAGGCAGUCUGGGCUUCCAUUCCUUAGGAAGAGCUGCAGAAACGGAAACAGUGAAAUGUAUUUACCUCAGACGCAGAUUCACAGUUAAGUUUCUCAAAGUCUGACGUCGUCCGCAAUCUUUUGCCCCAAAUUCGUAUUUCACUGCCUUCUAGUGUUUGAACCUUACUUGACUUAGAAGUUUUUUUUGUUUUGUUUUGUUUUGUUUUGUUUG
rnacentral:sRNA from 1 species